rfam:Pteropus alecto contig71587, whole genome shotgun sequence.
UAGUGUCUAUUUGACAGACCUGGAGCAGUUACUCUCUGCUGCUAAGGUUCCAGGGCAGAUGCAAGAAAAAAGGGUCCUCACACUUUCUGUCUGACUGUGGCAGCUGAGAUUGAAUAGAGGAAUACAGUG